AUGUCAGGGUCGGGGUCCAGUCCAGCCCUCGGGGGAGCAACCAGCGACGAGGAUGCCAACACAUCGCCCCCACUGCAACCUCCGAACCCGAGCACGUCGCGGCGGCGGCUGCCGCCGUGGCACCCAGACUUCACGGGCCCGUACCGGCUGCCGGAGACCGAGUACCAUCCUUCAGAGCUUCAGCCACCGGCGCGCCGACGGCCGACGAGCGAGGGUGCAUCUGACUCCGCGAGGACGAAGAGGAGCAAGUCCGGGGCAUCGGAAUCGGAGUCAGAUCGUGAGACGUCUUCACAGGAGGAGCCGGGCUCAGGCUCAGACUCCUCGGCGCACAGCUCCCCGGCCCGUGAGCCGGAGAUGCCGCUCGUGCCAAUCUGGAGGAACUCCAAGGGGAAGUUGGUCUACGGCUUCACUGACGACAAGGCCGCUGUGGCCAAAUAUCGCCAGGAUUUACGCAAGUAUGAGGAGAAGCUAGCUCAACAAGAACAAUUACUGACGCUCAAGCUGCCUUCCAAGGCCUCUGGUACCAACGAAUGCUACGGCAGUCCCAAGAACAAGGACAUGAUUUUAAACGCUGCCAAAUCUAUCCUGAGUCUUUCAGCCUAUCUUGAUGGCAAAGAGAUUAACCGGUGCACAGGCAUUGUUGUCAAUCGAGAUGAAGAUAAGAAAUCUCUUACUAUUCUCACCUCUGCCUGGCUUAUCUGCACUGAGAAACCAUCUAAUGAUUGGCUGGAUAAAGAAUAUGCUCCUCAAGCUAAGGUUAUUGUUCACCUACCGGAUGGCACAACCGUAGAUAGUCAAUUGAUGUACUUUAGCAAACAUUAUGACGUCGCCUUCUAUGAGAUUACAGGAGAUUUACACUUGCAUAGUUUACCAUUGGAAGGUAACUCGGAGUUCGGCCGUGAAGCAUUUGUGUUAGUAGCUAGGGAUACAAAUCUAGAUUUAAUCUACAGAGAAGCCAAGCUGGCAUCUGUAGGCCCUUGUGAAUUCCAACACAAUCAUUAUAAGUUCAUCACUUGUUCAAUUCCUAACAAGUGUGGAACUGGAGGUGGACUGUUGGAUUCUAAUGGGAAAAUUGUAGGGUUAUUAUCCUACACAUUUCCUCUUGUUGCUUUUAUUCCAAGCUCUCUUAUAAUGAAGUGUUCAGCAUUGUUGAGAAAAUUAGGGAAAAUUGUGCGACCCCAGCUUGGACUAAAGCUAAAGACGUUGGACUUAUUAGGCAUGUCGUGUAUUGAGCAGUUGUCACAUAAUUUCAACAUCUCCUCUGGUCUUGUAGUAAGAGAGGUUUCAGCAGGAUGUGUUGCUGAGAGGCUUGGCAUUAGAGUGGGGGAUGUUAUUUUAUCAUGUCAAGGAGAGAGUGUUUCAAGUAUAGCUCAGUUCGAAGAUAUACUGCUACGUGUUGGUGAGGAACAUCUUGAGAAGAGCAAUGAUCUUACGUGCAAAGUUGAUGUGCAGGUCGGAGUAUUUAAUACUCGCAAAUGUACAAGGAAACUUGUUACUUUGAAAGUGAAGUUAUCUGAUGGGGUUGAAGUCUUCCGCUAA
rnacentral:rRNA from 1 species